rnacentral:rRNA from 1 species
UACGUAGGGGGCUAGCGUUAUCCGGAAUUACUGGGCGUAAAGGGUGCGUAGGUGGUUUCUUAAGUCAGAGGUGAAAGGCUACGGCUCAACCGUAGUAAGCCUUUGAAACUGGGGAACUUGAGUGCAGGAGAAGAGAGUGGAAUUCCUAGUGUAGCGGUGAAAUGCGUAGAUAUUAGGAGGAACACCAGUUGCGAAGGCGGCUCUCUGGACUGUAACUGACACUGAGGCACGAAAGCGUGGGGAGCAAACAGG